GCUGGUGUAGCUCAGUUGGUUGAGCACCUGACUUUUAAUCAGGGUGUCGAAGGUUCGAGUCCUCUCGCCGGUAUCA
rnacentral:tRNA from 1 species